rnacentral:ncRNA from 17 species
UUUUUAUCAAGAAAGACAGAGGGACUGGCCCUAUGAAGUCUAGCAACCUGAAUUAUUAAUUAAUUUAAGGUGCUAAUUCCAGCAGAUAUUUUAUAUCUGAAAGAUAAGAA